AUAAAGGAUGCAAGCUAUGUGGUAUGGGUCGGCGUACGUGUCGCUCUAGUGCCCGCAGGGAAGCUAGUAAGCCUGCCCGCUUAGUGAGUAUCGGCUAGCAAUGACUGAUAACUUAAAGGAAUUGGCGGGGGAGCACACACAAGGGGGUGAAGCGUGCUGUUUAAUGUGAGUCAACGCCGGAUAUCUCACCGGGGGAGACAGCAGAAUGAAAGCCAGAUUAAAGGUCUUGCCAGACGAGGUGAGAGGAGGUGCAUGUCCGUCAGUCAGUUCGUGUGAGUGAGGUGUCCAGUUCAGUCAGGCAACGAUCGAGACCUGUAUCCUCCGUUGCUACCAGUUUUGAAAUGGGCACUCUGAGGAGACCGCCGUCGAUAAGGCGGAGGAAGGAGCGGGCCACGGCAGGUCAGUAUGCCCCGAAUCUCCCGGGCCACACGCGAGCUGCAAUGGCAGGUACAAUGGGUUCCGACCUUGAAAAGGGAAGGCAAUCCCGAAAGCCUGCCGUAGUUGGGAUCGAGGGUUGUAACCCACCCUCGUGAACAUGGAAUCCCUAGUAAUCGCGCGUCAUUAGCGCGCGGUGAAUACGUCCCUGCUCCUUGCACACACCGA
rnacentral:rRNA from 1 species